GUCGCAUUGGGAUUGCAUGAGAGCACGAAGUUCGGCUGUCUGCCUGCGACUGUGCCGAAUAGCCUUCUGCAGCCGAAUCCAAGUUGGCAAUCCUUGAACUUUAUUUAAAUGAGUCUGGCGAAUCGUGAUGAUCAGUUUAGCGUGCGUGUGCUUACGUUGCAGAGGGUCUUGAGUUGUCUAAAAAAUAGAGAGAGCGCGACAUAGAGAGCGCGACAUAUGAGCACUACCUUAACAGCAUCCAUGAUCAGUAAGUUAACUAACUGUAAACAUACGAUGCUCACAGAGGUGAUGCAUUUUUAGAUGCAUACUGUUUGAGAACAUAGAACUCCGUUUGACCUAGUGCACACGCAAACAUAAAAACGGAGUUUCAGAGUUUUUAUAAAUGAUCAUUUCCCAUGAUAAAAACUCAGUUUUCGUGUAGCCUAAAUGAAAGGGCAAAACUUAUGAAAACAUGUGUUUUCCCAUAGUGUAAACGGGGGGUUUAUACAAAUGUAUAGCCUAUGAAACGAUUGAGAAGGUGACAUUUAGGCCACGCCAUUGUGUUUAAAUAGGCGCACACUGAAAAAAGGAGAUUGGACAUCUGUUGUGUAGAAUGUAUAUCUGCAGAAAGUGUAAAUAUAAUUAUUACGGUCAUGUUGGGAUAAAGUGAAUAAAUCCAGUAAAUGUAGCCUUUCAGCUGUCUCGCGAUAACCACGCAAUCAUACAUGACGCGCAAAUGCAACUGACGGACUCAGCUCAUUCAGUGGAAGAAUUUUGUCCAUGCGAGUCAAGACACAGUCAUCUCAACUAUAUUUACAUUUUCUCACGUAGGCCUACACGGCGCUCUGUUACCGUGGGCUCAAGAUUUUUUGGUGAGUAUUACUAGCCUACAUAAAGUUGCGUUGUCCAGUAUGGAAGCCAGCACACUUUUCUAAUAUGCAGAAAGUGUAUAUUACAUUAUUCAGCUUGUGUUGAGUUAAAAUGAAUCAAUCGUGUAAAUGUAAAGUUACAGCUUUCAAAUUAUUUCUGGCGGCAGUCGAGCAUUGUGGCGCGAAAAUGCAUAUCUCAGUCAGCCGUCACUCACUCAAUGGCUUAGCUCAUACCAUAGAGAGAGGGCAACUACUGGUAGUUUUGGCAAAAAGGGUUUGCAUGAAAAUUCGUGAAUUUUUCCCGUGCUAAUUAAUUGUAUAGUUGAUGACCCAUUGCGCAGGUAACCAAUGCAAGUCUGUGUUGUUUGAAUGAUGUGGUUCACCGUAAAACCGAAUUAUUUGAGAAUCACCAGAGGCAUUUAUGCUAGCCACCGACAGAAGGAUGCUAAACUGAUGAUGCUACAUUUGUUUUGUUAAUUCAGAUCAUGAGCGUUUUGAAGUAUUUUAAAAAGAGGGAUCUUAAUUCACCUCAGAAUGAAGAGGUAGUAUCUGAGGAAUGUUUUGCCGUAUUUGCAGGCAGCAUAAGCCACCUGUAAGGAAUGGUCCUACAAAAAGACCCUUUGUGGAGGUUGGUGCUCUCCAUUACAGGAAGGAUUACCUGAAGCACCACAUCAGUACUGAACACCACCAACUGAGCAUGAAAUCCCAGCAGUCAGUCGCAUCAGGAUACUCCAUCAUGUCCACCUUCGAGCCAGUGAUACAUUUGGAGCACGAAGCUAUUAUUGGUGGUUUCAAGUGUCUUUACUGGCUGAUAAAAAAUGAGAUGGCUCACCACACCAAGUACCCCAAAUUGCUUAGUUUAGCCAGACUUUUGGGGUGUGAUUAUUUUGACAAGCUUAAGGUGAAUGCCUUUACAAACAUUCCAAACUUAACUUAGUGCAUUUAAGAUAAGAUAGUACUUCAUCCCGAAGGAAAUUCAAGUAAAUAUUUAAGUAAAUAUCGCAUUUGAAAUGUUCUUAUUUAAAAGGUGGACCGCAGGAACAAUUAUCGCUCUCAUCGAAUCAUCGAUGAGAUGCUGGAAAUAAUUUCACAGAUUAUCGAAGAGCCCAUUAUUCAAGUGAUAAGGGCAUCCCAGGCCAUGAGCCUUGAGGUGGAUGAGAGCACGGAUGUGUCCACAUCUCGCCAGCUUGACCUGCAUGUCAGAUACCUGGAUAAUUAGGGACUGGUUUUCAACCAGUUCCUAUACAUUGUCUCAGUCCCUGAUGGGAGGGCUGACACUAUUGUAACUGCCAUUAAAACGGUCCUAAUGAAUAAGAAUAUGCCAACAGAGAAGAUCUAUGGAAUUGGCACAGACGGUGCUGCUGUUAUGACAGGGCGUUUGAAUGGAGUUGUGAAACAACUCACUGAUAGCUUCCCAAGGUUGUUGGUGUUGCUUGUGCUGCUCACCGGCUUGCACUGGCCUGUAGGGAUGCUUCCAAUGGUGUCAGAUACAUGGCAAUUUUCCGAGACCACCUCCAGGACCUGUAUUUGUACUUCCAACACAGUGCAAACCGGACUGCAGCACUGAAGACUGCUGCUACUACCCUGGGACUAGCUGACUUGAAGUUGAAGCAAGUAAAAGAUACAAGAUGGCUGUCCCAGCACCAGGCCAUUGGGGUAUUGCAGCGAAACCUCGCAGCUGUGCUUGCCACAUUAGCUGAGGAAGUUGAAGUGAAACGAUGCCCAGUGGCCAAGGGACUGUACACCUUUUGUGCCACUUACAGAUUUGUGGCAUCAUUAUAUCUGCAGGCAGAUGUACUGCCACAUCUUGCCCGUUUGUCCAAGAUUUUUCAGAAGGCACAUAAAGGAACAGGUUCCCAUCACAAUUGAAACCUUGAGACGCAUCAAGGAUGCCGGCACUUCUCCCCCACAUGGGUCUUUCCUAUCCUGUCUCCAUAGAGAUCUGGAUGACCCCUCAGGACUUGGAGCCCAGUCCAUACAUCAUGAGGAGGAGAGGAACAGGAGAGGACAAAGUCUUGACGACGUACCACGAGAGAAACAGUGGUCAAGAUUUGUGGCAGAUGUUGCCAGUCCUUACAUCAGUGGCCUGAUUCAUCACCUGGAGUGCAGGUUCGAGAAUCUGAAUCUUCUUGGGGCCUUCAGUGUGUUGGGACCACAGGCAACUUCACAAAGUGAUGAGCAGAAUAAUGCCCACCUUAAGAUCCUGGCCAACAAGUUUUUACCUGAGAAUGAGAUCAAUGUCAAUCAGGAGUAUCAGUCCUUCAGAGAGCAUAUCCACAGAGGACAAUUCAAGGACAAGAGCCAGGCUGACAUACUGAGACUCCUAGCAAGUGAGUGCGACGAAUGGGGGCUGAUAUACCCAUUACUCAGCCGCUCAGCAGCCAUUGCCCUUGUUGUGCCGGUGUCAAGCGUGAAUUGUGAAAGAGACUUUUCCACAAUGAACAGGGUCAAAACAGACCUCCGUAACAGACUUCAGGGAGAGCACCUGGCUGCCUGUUUGAGGAUCUCUAUUAACGGGCCAGAACCUGAAGACUUUAAUUACCAAAGGGCACUGGAACUGUUUUUCUCAAAGCCAAGAAAACUGAAAUGUUCUAGCGCAGGGUGUCAUAUCUGUAAAUAGGGUGGUUGCUAUCUGUAAUAUGAAUAAAUACGCCAAGAAC
ensembl:lncRNA